UGAAAUAAAGCAGACAAUGGAUGCCUAGGAUCUUUGGGCCGAAGAAGGACGCGGCAGACUGCGAUAAUCGUCGGUGAGCUGUCAACAAGCUUUGACCCGGCGGUGUCCGAAUGGGGCAACCCAUCCUUUUGGAUAUCUUAAGGUGAAUACAUAGCCUUAAGAAGGGCACUUGGGGAACUGAAAUAUCUUAGUACCCAAAGGAAAAUAAAUCGAAUGAGAUUCCCUUAGUAGCGACGAGCGAAAGGGGAAAAGCCUAAACCUAAAGUUUACUUUAGGGGUUGCAGGACCUCAACAUGGGAUUUUUAAAGGAUAGAAGAAGUUGUUGGAAGACAACACCAGAGAAAGUGACAGUCUUGUAUUCAAAAUCCAAUAAAACCCUAGAGGAUUCCUAAGUACCACGGAAGAUGCCACUUUUGUGGGAAUCUAGGGAGACCACUCUCUAAGGCUAAAUACUCAAAGAUACCGAUAGUGAACUAGUACCGUGAGGGAAAGGUGAAAAGACGGGUGAGACACCCAGUGAAAUAGAACCUGAAAUUGUCUGCUAACAAACAGACAGAGCUGGCUUUUGCCAGUGAUGUCGUGCCUAUUGAAGAAUGAACCGGCGAGUUUCUCUCUAUCAGUUUAGAUUAACUAAGUUAUCUUAGGUAGUCGCAGUGAAAGCGAGCCUUAAAUGGGCGUUGAUUGAUAGAGGAAGACCCGAAACCGGGCGAGCUACCCAUGGGCAGGGUGAACCUUCUAGAGAUAGAAGGGGAAGCCCGAACCCGUAUCUGUUACAAAAGGUUGGGAUGACCUGUGGGUAGGAGUAAUAUGCUAAACGUGCCCGGAGAUAGCUGGUUCUCCCCGAAAUAUAUUUAGGUAUAGCGUCUUUAUCGUAAUUCUAUUGGGGGUAGAGCACUGAAUGGAUAUGGGGAGCUUGCUUCUCAUAUUUAAUCAAACUCCGAAUACCAAUUAGGAUGAUAGAGGCAGUCAGCGGCUGGGGGCUAAGCUCCAGUUGCUAAAGGGAAACAACCCAGACCCUCAUCUAAGGUCUCUAAUUUUUAGUUAAGUUGGAAAAGAAGUUUCUAAUCUUAAACAGCCAGGAGGUCGGCUUAGAAGCAGCCAUCCUUGAAAGAAAGCGUAACAGCUCACUGGUCGAUGAUUAGGGGCGCUGAAAAUUUAACGAGGAUUAAACUAAAAACCGAAGAUAGGGACUUAAUUUUAUUAAGUGGUAGGGGAGCGUUCUAUGGUCAGUGAAGCUGGACUGUAAAGUCUAGUGGAGAGCAUAGAAGUGAGAAUGCCGGUAUGAGUAACGAGAGUCCGGUGAGAAUCCGGACCGCCGAAUGUCCAAGGUUUCCUCAGCAACGUUCGUCGUCUGAGGGUUAGUCGGUCCUAAGGUGAGGCCAUAUGGCGUAGCCGAUGGAUAACAGGUUUAUAUUCCUGUACUAGCUUUUAAGUUUAUGUUAAAGGAGGGACGAAGCUUGACAAGUUGAGCGUCUUAUUGAAUUGACGUCUAAGCAACAAAACAGUUUCAACCAGAAAAUCUAUUGAAACAACGUUGAGUUGUGAGAAAGUCUUAAGUUCGCUUAAGGCAAUUCAACCUCGUUAAGCUUCCGAGAAAAACUUCGUUAACUUCUUUUAAGCUAACCGUACCGCAAACCGACACAGGUGGACAAGUCGAGUAGACUAAGGCGAGCGGGAGAACUAUCCCUAAGGAACUCGGCAAAUUAGCUGGACGUAACUUAGGAAGAUGUCCUUCCCACUUUAUGUGGGACGCAGCAAACGAUUCUCAAGCGACUGUUUAACAAAAACACAGGUCUCUGCAAACUCGAAAGAGGAAGUAUAGGGGCUGAAACCUGCCCAGUGCCGGAAGGUUAAAUGACUGGGUGAUAUCUUUGAUUGAGCCUGGAAUUGAAGCCCCGGUGAACGGCAGCAAUAACUAUAAUUGUUCAAAGGUAGCGAAGUACCUUGUCAGGUGAGUUCUGACGCGCACGAAAGGUGUAACGACUUGAGAACUGUCUUGGGGAUAGACCCGGUGAAAUUGAAAUGGCUGUGAAGAUGCGGCCUGCUUACUGCAGGACAAAAAGACCCUAUGGAGCUUUACUGUAACUUGGCAUUGAGCUUAAGUUAUUAAUUGUCGAGAAUAGGCGGGACCGAGCUUGCUCGGGCCAGUGGAAUACCGCUCUUUAAUAAUUUAAGAUCUAACCUUUGAACCCUGAAUCGGGUUUGGGGACAGUGUCUGGUGGGCAGUUUGACUGGGGAGGUUGUUUGCUAAAAAGUACCGCAAACGCGCAAAGGUAGCCUUAACUUGGAUGGAAACCAAGUUGGACGUGUAAAAGCAUGAAGGCUGCUUGACUGUGACACUUACAAGUGGAGCAGGGACGAAAGUCGGUUUUAGUGAUCCUCGGAUGCCGUGUGGAAGGCACCGAGCUUAACGGAUAAAAGCUACCCUAGGGAUAACAGAGUGGUCACGCCCAAGCGUCCAUAGCGACGGCGUGGUUCGCUACCUCGAUAAACCUAAAUAGUUAUGUCGCUUCUUUGAGUAAUCAAAGUUGAAAAAUCUGGCUAAUAACGGGGAAACCCUCUUGAUAAUUUUUAGUAUUAUCAAAGGGCAAUCUCGUGGGAAGUCCUAUAAAUAAUAUAGUGACCCCGUAGAGACUGAGGAUUAAUCCAAAAUAGCAGCUACUAUCACAUAUAGUGAUAAAUCUAAAGCUGUUAUUAUACGCCGGACCCCUUUAUUUAAUAUAAAGGGUGAUGAUAUAGUCCGUGCCAUUAGAAACAAUGGAGAACUCACGGUCGGCUCAGCGCAUCCUGGGGGUGGAGAAGCUCCCAAGGGUUGGUCUGUUCGCCCAUUAAAGCGCUACGUGAGCUGGGUUCAGAACGUCGUAAGACAGUUCGGUCUCUAUCCGCAGUAAGCGUUGAAUACUUGAGGGAAGUCGUCCACAGUACGAGAGGACCUGGAUGAGCUAAUCCCUGGUGUGCCAGUUGUUGCUGUCAAGCGCAUAGCUGGGUAGCCACAUUAGUUACGGAUAACUGCUGAAAGCAUCUCAAGCGGGAAGCCGUUCCCAAGAUUAGGUAUUCUUGUUUUGAAAAAACUGAAGGUUUCUGGAAGACUACCAGAUAUAUAGGCUGGAGGUGUAAGGAUAGUAAUGUUUUUAGCUGACCAGUCCUAAUUAACCAAA
rnacentral:rRNA from 1 species